ACAGAGCCUGACGCGGGGCUUGAACUCACGAACUGUAAGAUCAUGACCUAAGCCGAAGUCGGAUGCUCAACCGACUGAGCCACCCAGGCGCCCCAUGUGUAACACCAUUUGUGUGUGCAGAUGAGACUUCAGGACUCCCCGGCUGCAAACCAGAUGUGAUCUCCAAGCUGGAACAGUGGGAAGACCCCUGGACUAUGGAGACAGAUGUUCUGAGAGGUCCAGGUGAGUGAAGUAAAGGUCUAUCAGCAUCUGACAGCCACUAAUCUGUCUUCUGUCUCUGUGAUUUGCAUCUUCUGAACUUUUCAUAUAAGUGAAGUUUAUAUAAAUAUAUUCAUCUAGAUACAUAUAAAUUCACUUAUUUUUCGCAAAGAUACAUGUGCUACUAUGUGUGGCCUUUCUGUAUCUGGCUUCUAACCCUUAAGAA